rnacentral:lncRNA from 1 species
UUGCAAUGCAUUCGUAAGACAAAAAGUAUUUUCUUGAAAUAUUGGUCCAUAGGGAGUAAACACGACGGCGUUCAACCAAUCAUAUCGUCAUAAUUUAUUCAAGGUGUGAUGAUGUAUGGAAGGAACUGAACUUUUGCGUUUGGGUUUAAAUAUUUUCUUCAACAUUCAUUUGGAGGUUGAAAAUUGUCCAUUUUAGUUCAAAUUGAAGAUUUCAUGAAUCUGAUUUCUAGAUUUACUUCAAUUAAACGUUUUGUUCCUAUACCACGUUGAAACGUACAAUCGUUAAAAAAUAAAUAUGCUCUUAGAUAUGUUUAAUUUAGAUUUUCACCUACGGUUUAUUAUGAAAUAUAAAUAAAGCAUAUUUUUGAGCAUCAAAAC